GAAAGUAAACUUAAAAAAAACCUCCAAAAAUAUAUUUUUACUGUGAAAUCCCGCUAGAAAUUCACUUUCACCCUAAAAUAUCUCCCAAAAAAUCACUUUCACACUACAAUCCCUAAUUAAGCGGCAACUUUAAUUCUCUUCAAAGUUCACAAAGGUUGCAAAAUUCAUCAGUCAUAACUCAGAAGCUUGCAAAAUUCAUCACUCCAAACUUUGGCGUCAAAUUUCGAUCUCUCUCCAAGGGACUUUACCCAAAAUCUACUAUUGGAUUAUCUGCCUAAUCAAGAGACUUUACAAAGCAGAAAACAUGCACUAGACCCGCUCAUCAUGCUAGGUCAACAACUGAUACCAAGUUUUGGAUAUUGAGGUUUACAAGAAGAGGAUUUUCGACAUACAGAUUGACCAUCUUUUUGCUGGAAAUGUCAAAAAAAAAAUUACAUUAUAAUCGAGGGAUAUUAGUGAUAUGUAGUUUUUUUGCUAAAGGUUUAUGAACACAAUAUUAUGACUAGCUUACAUCAUUGAUGU